rnacentral:lncRNA from 1 species
GCUAAAGGAAUCCAUCUCAUGGCAUGGAUCCCUGAGGUCUGCCCCAGUACUAUAAGACAAUUUGAUGUAAGAAAACACAGCAGAUAUAAUACUGAGUGAAGAAGAGUAUAAAUGAGAAGAUUGGUUGUGCAGAUACUGAGUUCAUGAAAAGAGGAGAUGAUUGAUGAGGCCAGGUGCGGUGACUCAUGCCUGUAAUCCCUGCACUUUGGGAGGCUGCGGCGGGCGGAUCACCUGAGGUCAGGAGUUCGAGACCAGCCUGGGAGACAGAGCAUGGAAACCUAAGGUCUGUACCCAAAACUACAGGACUAUUUGACAUCAUAAUAAAACACUGCAGAUAUGAUGCUGAGUAAGAGUAGAAAUGGGAAGACUUGGUUGUGCAGUAACUGAGUUCUUGAAAAGAGGAGAUGCUUGAUGAGGGCAUGGAUCACUAAGGUCUGUUCCCAAUACAAGAAGACUCUUUGACAUCAUAAUAAAAUACUGCAGAUACGAUGCUGAGUGAAAAAGAGUAGAAAUGGGAAGACUUGGUUGUGCAGAAACUGAGUUCUUAAAGAGAGGAGAUACUUUAUGAGGGCUGGAGUGCACUGGAGCAAUCCUGGCUGGCCAAUACUGAGUUCUUGAAAACAGGAGAUGCUUGAUGAGGAUGGGAUCAUCUAGUUGCAGGAAAACAAGGCUCAGGGUGCCUACUGAUUCUAC